rnacentral:misc_RNA from 1 species
AAGUCGUAACAAGGUUUCCGUAGGUGAACCUGCGGAAGGAUCAUUAUCGAAGAUGUGGGGAUGUGGUUGUUGCUGGCUCUUCGGAGCAUGUGCACACCCCUCUCUAUUCAACUUCAUACCCUACCCCUGUGCACUCUUGUAGAUUCGGAUACCUCAUUUGAGGGUCGCUCUAGGGCUUCCUUCAAAUUUCCGGGUCUAUGUAUCUUUACACACUUAUAAAAAAACUAUCAGAAUGUCUUUGGCCCGUCUUGAAAAAGCGAGCUUAAAUCAAUACAA